rnacentral:sRNA from 1 species
UUAGCAAAGCUACAGAACAGGCAGUCUUAAGCACUCUUGUCGAUCAGCUGCCCUCCUUCCGCUCACUCACCUUUCAAACAAAAUGUCCAUGUCCGACAUGGGUUACUCUCGCAUCCGAACGCGAAGCAAAGGACGCGAAAUUAUGGGAGAGUAACAAAAAUACACACAUGAGCCUAGAAGAGAGAUGCCCUCCACAGAUGGAGACCGCUGAACGCAGGUUGUAUUAGUUCCUUGUCGAACUUCCCUUUCCGCCUUAAUAUUAGUGAGAUUAUGGAUGGACAUAUAGCAUUUGCGGAUCGAUUGCAUUAUGGCCGGCAACGUGCAAACCUUGGGAAUGAAGCACUCGUUUUUGGGUUUUGAGUGCAAUGAGCCCUGGCUAGUUUUGAUCGUGCCUGAGAACAAGCUUAAAUAGACAAUAGAAGUGCCCAAUUUUUUUGAAACUGGGCUGAAUAUAUGCAAGCUUUAGGCUCCC